rnacentral:rRNA from 1 species
GACGAACGCUGGCGGCGUGCUUAACACAUGCAAGUCGAACGGAAAGGCCCUGCUUUUGUGGGGUGCUCGAGUGGCGAACGGGUGAGUAACACUUGAGUAACCUGCCCUUGACUUUGGGAUAACUUCAGGAAACUGGGGCUAAUACCGGAUAUGAGCUCCUGCUGCAUGGUGGGGGUUGGAAAGUUUCGGCGGUUGGGGAUGGACUCGCGGCUUAUCAGCUUGUUGGUGGGGUAGUGGCUUACCAAGGCUUUGACGGGUAGCCGGCCUGAGAGGGUGACCGGCCACAUUGGGACUGAGAUACGGCCCAGACUCCUACGGGAGGCAGCAGUGGGGAAUAUUGCACAAUGGGCGGAAGCCUGAUGCAGCAACGCCGCGUGCGGGAUGACGGCCUUCGGGUUGUAAACCGCUUUCGCCUGUGACGAAGCGUGAGUGACGGUAAUGGGUAAAGAAGCACCGGCUAACUACGUG